rnacentral:rRNA from 1 species
GACGUAGGGGGCAAGCGUUGUCCGGAAUCAUUGGGCGUAAAGCGCUCGUAGGCGGACCUUUAAGUCGGUGAAGAAAGACCUGGGCUCAACUCAGGGAACGGCAUCGAUACUAUUGGUCUUGAGGUAGUCAGAGGAUGAUGGAAUUCCCGGUGUAGCGGUGAAAUGCGUAGAGAUCAGGAAGAACACCGGUGGCGAAAGCGCUCUACUAGGCCGCAACUGACACUGAGGGACGAAAGCUAGGGGAGCGAAUGGG